rfam:Echinostoma caproni strain Egypt genome assembly, scaffold: ECPE_scaffold0004685
GCGCUGCUGACAAGUCCCAAACAGGACGAAACAGCUGUCCAGUGC